rnacentral:pre_miRNA from 1 species
AGUGAAAUUGCUAGGUCAUACGGUAUCUCUAUUUAACUUUUGGAGAAAUUGCCAAACUGUUUUCCAAAGCAGCUGCACCAUUUUACAUUCCCGCCAGCAAU